CUCAGAGUUACAGAGUAGAAAAGAAAAUGUCAAACGUCUGAAUGCAAUGUGUUAUACCUUCGCUGGAUCUGGCCUACGCACUCGAGUGGGAAAGAGGUCAUGUGAGGACACAAUGAAAAAGACACCAAAAACCAGGAAGAAAAACCUCAUCAGAAACCAACACUGAUGGCACCUUGAUCUUGGACUGCAAAAUCUUCUGCAAUAUGGGAGCCUGUGACCAGGGUUGCAAAGGGAUACUGGAGAUAAACAUGCUGGAAAACUCUGAUGUCAGCUCUGUUUUUAAUAGCUGACAUAACUGAAGUACAGAUAGAAGGGAAAGGCAGUCUUUUUUAAAAAAUUGGCUUUGUUGAGGUUUAAUUUACAUGCAAAAAGUUCAUUAAUUCCAAGUAUACGGUUUGAUGAGUUCUAACAAAUGCACACAGUUCUGCAACAACCACUACAAUCAAGACACAUAUUUCAUCCCCAAAUAAGCUCCCUGGGACCCUGUGCAGUCAAUUCCCUUUCCACACUCCUAAAGUCAGAGAACUACUGCUCACAGACAGUCAACAUUUACAAGGCAUUAUCCACUGCACUGAACUCAUGAAGUAUUAUUUUAAUCUUCUUCCUAAGAAUAGAUAUUGUUAUCCCCCACGUUAUGGAUGAGGAAACUGACUCAGAUUAAGUAAAAUGUGCAAGAUUCUUCAGCUAGUUAAGUGGGAGGGAUAUGCUCAAAUCAAGAUCUUAACUCCAACAUUAAAAAUCGAGUUUUCACUCAAAAACAAUAAAUAUCUUGG